rnacentral:rRNA from 1 species
UUAAGCGACUAAGCGUACACGGUGGAUGCCCUGGCAGUCAGAGGCGAUGAAGGACGUGCUAAUCUGCGAAAAGCGUCGGUAAGGUGAUAUGAACCGUUAUAACCGGCGAUGUCCGAAUGGGGAAACCCAGUGCAAUUCGUUGCACUAUCGUUAACUGAAUACAUAGGUUAACGAGGCGAACCGGGGGAACUGAAACAUCUAAGUACCCCGAGGAAAAGAAAUCAACCGAGAUUCCCCCAGUAGCGGCGAGCGAACGGGGAGCAGCCCAGAGUCUGAAUCAGCUUGUGUGUUAGUGGAACGGUCUGGAAAGUCCGACGGUACAGGGUGAUAGUCCCGUACACCAAAAUGCACAGGCUGUGAACUCGAAGAGUAGGGCGGGACACGUGGUAUCCUGUCUGAAUAUGGGGGGACCAUCCUCCAAGGCUAAAUACUCCUGACUGACCGAUAGUGAACCAGUACCGUGAGGGAAAGGCGAAAAGAACCCCGGCGAGGGGAGUGAAAAAGAACCUGAAACCGUGUACGUACAAGCAGUGGGAGCACCUUCGGGUGUGACUGCGUACCUUUUGUAUAAUGGGUCAGCGACUUAUAUUCUGUAGCAAGGUUAACCGUAUAGGGGAGCCGCAGGGAAACCGAGUCUUAACUGGGCGUUAAGUUGCAGGGUAUAGACCCGAAACCCGGUGAUCUAGCCAUGGGCAGGUUGAAGGUUGGGUAACACUAACUGGAGGACCGAACCGACUAAUGUUGAAAAAUUAGCGGAUGACUUGUGGCUGGGGGGGAAAGGCCAAUCAAACCGGGAGAUAGCUGGUUCUCCCCGAAAGCUAUUUAGGUAGCGCCUCGUGAACUCAUCUUCGGGGGUAGAGCACUGUUUCGGCUAGGGGGUCAUCCCGACUUACCAACCCGAUGCAAACUACGAAUACCGAAGAAUGUUAUCACGGGAGACACACGGCGGGUGCUAACGUCCGUCGUGAAGAGGGAAACAACCCAGACCGCCAGCUAAGGUCCCAAAGUCAUGGUUAAGUGGGAAACGAUGUGGGAAGGCACAGACAGCCAGGAUGUUGGCUUAGAAGCAGCCAUCAUUUAAAGAAAGCGUAAUAGCUCACUGGUCGAGUCGGCCUGCGCGGAAGAUGUAACGGGGCUAAACCAUGCACCGAAGCUGCGGCAGCGACACUAUGUGUUGUUGGGUAGGGGAGCGUUCUGUAAGCCUGCGAAGGUGUGCUGUGAGGCAUGCUGGAGGUAUCAGAAGUGCGAAUGCUGACAUAAGUAACGAUAAAGCGGGUGAAAAGCCCGCUCGCCGGAAGACCAAGGGUUCCUGUCCAACGUUAAUCGGGGCAGGGUGAGUCGACCCCUAAGGCGAGGCCGAAAGGCGUAGUCGAUGGGAAACAGGUUAAUAUUCCUGUACUUGGUGUUACUGCGAAGGGGGGACGGAGAAGGCUAUGUUAGCCGGGCGACGGUUGUCCCGGUUUAAGCAUGUAGGCUGAUUGUCCAGGCAAAUCCGGAUAAUCAAGGCUGAGGUGUGAUGACGAGGCACUACGGUGCUGAAGUAACAAAUGCCCUGCUUCCAGGAAAAGCCUCUAAGCAUCAGGUAACAUCAAAUCGUACCCCAAACCGACACAGGUGGUCAGGUAGAGAAUACCAAGGCGCUUGAGAGAACUCGGGUGAAGGAACUAGGCAAAAUGGUGCCGUAACUUCGGGAGAAGGCACGCUGGUGUGUAGGUGAAGUCCCUGCGGAUGGAGCUGAGACCAGUCGAAGAUACCAGCUGGCUGCAACUGUUUAUUAAAAACACAGCACUGUGCAAACACGAAAGUGGACGUAUACGGUGUGACGCCUGCCCGGUGCCGGAAGGUUAAUUGAUGGGGUUAUCCGUAAGGAGAAGCUCUUGAUCGAAGCCCCGGUAAACGGCGGCCGUAACUAUAACGGUCCUAAGGUAGCGAAAUUCCUUGUCGGGUAAGUUCCGACCUGCACGAAUGGCGUAAUGAUGGCCAGGCUGUCUCCACCCGAGACUCAGUGAAAUUGAACUCGCUGUGAAGAUGCAGUGUACCCGCGGCAAGACGGAAAGACCCCGUGAACCUUUACUAUAGCUUGACACUGAACAUUGAGCCUUGAUGUGUAGGAUAGGUGGGAGGCUUUGAAGCGUGGACGCCAGUCUGCGUGGAGCCAACCUUGAAAUACCACCCUUUAAUGUUUGAUGUUCUAACGUUGGCCCCUGACCGGGGUUGCGGACAGUGUCUGGUGGGUAGUUUGACUGGGGCGGUCUCCUCCCAAAGCGUAACGGAGGAGCACGAAGGUUAGCUAAUCCUGGUCGGACAUCAGGAGGUUAGUGCAAUGGCAUAAGCUAGCUUGACUGCGAGCGUGACGGCGCGAGCAGGUGCGAAAGCAGGUCAUAGUGAUCCGGUGGUUCUGAAUGGAAGGGCCAUCGCUCAACGGAUAAAAGGUACUCCGGGGAUAACAGGCUGAUACCGCCCAAGAGUUCAUAUCGACGGCGGUGUUUGGCACCUCGAUGUCGGCUCAUCACAUCCUGGGGCUGAAGUAGGUCCCAAGGGUAUGGCUGUUCGCCAUUUAAAGUGGUACGCGAGCUGGGUUUAGAACGUCGUGAGACAGUUCGGUCCCUAUCUGCCGUGGGCGCUGGAGAAUUGAGGGGGGCUGCUCCUAGUACGAGAGGACCGGAGUGGACGCAUCACUGGUGUUCGGGUUGUCAUGCCAAUGGCACUGCCCGGUAGCUAAAUGCGGAAGAGAUAAGUGCUGAAAGCAUCUAAGCACGAAACUUGCCCCGAGAUGAGUUCUCCCUGAGACUUUAAGUCUCCUGAAGGAACGUUAAAGACGAUGACGUUGAUAGGCCGGGUGUGUAAGCGCAGCGAUGCGUUGAGCUAACCGGUACUAAUGAACCGUGAGGCUUAACCUU